AUCCUUCGGUUCAUGAGUAUGAUGAUUGGGUGUUUCACAGAUGAUCUGUGAAAUGUACAGCCUAAACUUGUUACGCAGUGUACAUAACCCUUCUGAUC